rnacentral:rRNA from 1 species
GACGAACGCUGGCGGCGUGCUUAACACAUGCAAGUCGAACGGAAAGGCCCUGCUUUUGUGGGGUGCUCGAGUGGCGAACGGGUGAGUAACACGUGAGUAACCUGCCCUUGACUUUGGGAUAACUUCAGGAAACUGGGGCUAAUACCGGAUAGGAGCUCCUGCUGCAUGUUGGGGGUUGGAAAGUUUCGGCGGUUGGGGAUGGACUCGCGGCUUAUCCGCUUGUUGGUGGGGUAGUGGCUUACCAAGGCUUUGACGGGUAGCCGGCCUGAGAGGGUGAACGGGGACAUGGGGACUGAGGUACGGAGCAGACGGGUACGGGAGGCAGCAGGGGAGAACAUGGCGCAAUGAGCGGGAGCGAGAUGCAACGACGUCGCGUGCGGGAUGACGGCCUUCGGGGGGUGAACCGCUGUCGCAGGUGACGAGGCGGGAGUGACGGUAAUGGGUAAAAAAGCACCGGCUAACUACGUG